AUCACUAAGCGGAGGAAAAGAAACUAACAAGGAUUCCCUUAGUAACGGCGAGUGAAGUGGGAAGAGCCCAGCACCGAAUCCCCUGCCCUAGCGGUAGCGGGAACUGUGGUGUUUGGGACGUCGGCUGUGCGGUCUGCCCAUCGUCCGAGUCCUCAUGAUCGGGGCCCUUCCAUGGCGGGUGUCAGGCCCAUACGGCUCGGCGUCGUCGUCCUACGGACUUCUCGGGAGUCGGGUUGUUUGAGAUUGCAGCCCAAAGUGGGUGGUAAACUCCAUCUAAGGCUAAAUACUUGCACGAGUCCGAUAGC
rnacentral:rRNA from 1 species